rnacentral:lncRNA from 1 species
CAUAUCUGUACAUUUUCGUGUAAAGAUUCACUGAUUUGUGUUCUGUGUAAAAAUACCAAAUCCGGGAAUGUAUAAUAGCUCUAUUGACAUAUCAAUUUUCUCCCUACAUUACGGAUUCAAUUAGCUAGUACCAUAUUACGGAUUUUCGUGUCCAACAACCAAAAAACCACGAUAACUUUAGACUAGUCAUAGUGCAAGUAAUUUGGAUACUAACAUAGAUGUCAACUAGACAUUUUUGUGACAUGGCAUGACAAUAAAUGAAAAAAAAAAGAUUUGUGAAAACUGUAGAUAUAUUAUCAUAACAUCACACAAAUCAAGAUAAGAUGAGUGUAUAACACAAUUAAUGACACAAUAGAUGACACCGCAUAUAAGUUAUUACUUAACUUAUACCUGUAACUUGGAUAGUAUUUGCUUGGGGAGCACUCUCUAGGCUAAAACGUGGGGGCACACUCCCUGGAUGGCACCGGAUUUUAUUUUUAUUUUGAAAAUUAUGAAUUUAAGCAACGGUGAACUGUGUCAAAGUGUAGCCUAUUUACUUUAAAAAAAAGUGUUGCCUAUUUGAUUAUGAGUGUUAACUCGGUACACUUUAUCAUGGUAUAUUUGCAAAAUCACAUACUCUCAUAUAUAAUUAUUUUGACAAAAAAAUAUGAACUAAAAAAUAAAAUACAUCGAAUAAAUGGUCGGAAUUUGUUGGACUAGACACAACUCCUCUUUUCCAAUAAAAAUCGCUCAACAAAACAAAACCAACGUUCAAAAAAUACAUGACAAAAUGUGUCUCCUUUUUUUUAGAAUAGUGUCACCCUUUUGUUGAUACGAAUUUGUUGACAGGUGACAGGAAGCCUUUUUCUUUGUUGACAUGAAGCUAUGAACC